GCCCGAGUGGUGGAACAGGUAGACACAACGGACUUAAAAUCCGUCGACUUAAAAAGUCGUACCAGUUCGAUUCUGGUCUCGGGCACCA
rnacentral:tRNA from 1 species